rnacentral:rRNA from 1 species
AGAGUUUGAUCCUGGCUCAGGAUGAACGCUGGCGGCGUGCCUAAUACAUGCAAGUCGAGCGAACAGAUAAGGAGCUUGCUCCUUUGACGUUAGCGGCGGACGGGUGAGUAACACGUGGGUAACCUACCUAUAAGACUGGGAUAACUUCGGGAAACCGGAGCUAAUACCGGAUAACAUUUGGAACCGCAUGGUUCUAAAGUGAAAGAUGGUUUUGCUACCACUUAUAGAUGGACCCGCGCCGUAUUAGCUAGUUGGUAAGGUAACGGCUUACCAAGGCGACGAUACGUAGCCGACCUGAGAGGGUGAUCGGCCACACUGGAACUGAGACACGGUCCAGACUCCUACGGGAGGCAGCAGUAGGGAAUCUUCCGCAAUGGGCGAAAGCCUGACGGAGCAACGCCGCGUGGGUGAUGAAGGGUUUCGGCUCGUAAAACUCUGUUAUUAGGGAAGAACAAAUGUGUAAGUAACUGUGCACAUCUUGACGGUACCUAAUCAGAAAGCCACGGCUAACUACGUGCCAGCAGCCGCGGUAAUACGUAGGUGGCAAGCGUUAUCCGGAAUUAUUGGGCGUAAAGCGCGCGUAGGCGGUUUCUUAAGUCUGAUGUGAAAGCCCACGGCUCAACCGUGGAGGGUCAUUGGAAACUGGGAAACUUGAGUGCAGAAGAGGAAAGUGGAAUUCCAUGUGUAGCGGUGAAAUGCGCAGAGAUAUGGAGGAACACCAGUGGCGAAGGCGACUUUCUGGUCUGUAACUGACGCUGAUGUGCGAAAGCGUGGGGAUCAAACAGGAUUAGAUACCCUGGUAGUCCACGCCGUAAACGAUGAGUGCUAAGUGUUAGGGGGUUUCCGCCCCUUAGUGCUGCAGCUAACGCAUUAAGCACUCCGCCUGGGGAGUACGACCGCAAGGUUGAAACUCAAAGGAAUUGACGG